GACGAACGCUGGCGGCGUGCCUAAUACAUGCAAGUAGAACGCUGAAGGAGGAGCUUGCUUCUCUGGAUGAGUUGCGAACGGGUGAGUAACGCGUAGGUAACCUGCCUGGUAGCGGGGGAUAACUAUUGGAAACGAUAGCUAAUACCGCAUAAGAGUAGAUGUCGCAUGACAUUUGCUUAAAAGGUGCAAUUGCAUCACUACCAGAUGGACCUGCGUUGUAUUAGCUAGUUGGUGGGGUAACGGCUCACCAAGGCGACGAUACAUAGCCGACCUGAGAGGGUGAUCGGCCACACUGGGACUGAGACACGGCCCAGACUCCUACGGGAGGCAGCAGUAGGGAAUCUUCGGCAAUGGACGGAAGUCUGACCGAGCAACGCCGCGUGAGUGAAGAAGGUUUUCGGAUCGUAAAGCUCUGUUGUAAGAGAAGAAUGAGUGUGAUGAUGUGGAAAGUUCACACUGUG
rnacentral:rRNA from 1 species